rnacentral:lncRNA from 1 species
AUGGAUGAGGGCGAGGCCACCUUCUUCUGGGGAGAGCUCCUGAUUUCUGAUCUCAUUUUGGGAGAUAAUGAAUUAUAUCUAAUUAGUCCUGCCCAAAUCAAAUCAGGAGGUGGGAAUUUGGACCGGAGGGAGGGGGCUGGCAGGCGGCAGGGAGGGCACAGGGUCAGCAGCUCCCUGGCAGCCAGCCGCCCGCCCCACAGGACGGAUGAACACAGCAAGCUCCUCCCCCUUCCAAGACGCUGGCUGGGGAAGCGGCAGGCGUUCCGCAGUGAGGAUGCGCGGCCGCCCUUCCCAGCGAGGCUUCUGGGAUCCUCAGCCCCUGGGUCUCCUCCCCGGCCCCGCCCCUGCUUCCACAGACGGGGUGACCCUGGAAACAAGUCACUGGCGGAUGCUCUGUGUGCAGAGAACCUGAGCGGGACCAGAUGGCUGGGCGCGCCCUGCCUGCUGCGGGCGUCCUGUGUCUCACAUCAUUCACCGUGCAGUCUUUAAAGAUACUCUCCGACGGCUUUUAUGCACGUGUUUUUAUGAUUUUUAAAGAUAAGCACCUUUUAAAUGUAUUUAUUUAUUAAAUUUUUAUUUGAAAGGCAGAGAGACCCAGAGAGAGAUCACCCAGCCGCUGGCUGACUCCCCAAAUGCCUGCAAAGCCAGGGCUGGGUCAAGCCGACGUUAGGAGCCUGGCACUCCACGUGGGUCUCCCGUGUGGGUGGCAGGUGCCCACGGACUUGGACCAUCCACUGCCUCUCAGGAUGUGUUAGCAGGAGGCUGUCUGGGAAGCAGGGCAGUCAGGCGUGGAGCCGGGCACUCCCGCGGGGGACGUGGGUGCUCAGCCCUCCUUUCUCCAGUUAUAUUGUCACGAGUCUCACGCCCACAUUAUGAAGCCGUGGGAGGGAUUUUCUCCUCACCAGAGGCACUGCUUUGCUUUUGCCUGUUUCCCAUUUGUUUUACUUUUUAGAAAUCCCAGAACAAAAUAUAAUAUUUCUUCCUUUUUUUUUUUUUUUUGAUGGCAGAGUGGACAGUAAGAGAGAAAGACAGAGAGAGAAAGGUCUUCUUUUUGCCAUUGGUUCACCCUCCAAUGGCCACCGCAGCCGGCGCGCUGCGGCCGGCACACCGCGCUGAUCCAAUGGCAGGAGCCAGGUGCUUCUCCUGGUCUCCCAUGCGGGUGCAGGGCCCAAGCACUUGGGCCAUCCUCCACUGCCCUCCCUGGCCACAGCAGAGAGCUGGCCUGGAAGAGGGGCAACCGGGACAGAAUCCGGCGCCCCGACCGGGACUAGAACCCGGUGAGCCGGCGCCGCAAGGCGGAAGAUUAGCCUACUGAGCCGCAGCGCCGGCCCAAAAUAUAAUAUUUCUUAAAUUGCACAAAAUGUUGCUUAAAAAGUGGCAGGGGGGCCACGUGAGUGGAGGGCAGGUGCCAGUGUCCCCACCCCAGAUGAUUCUGUCAGUAGGCGAGGGUAAGAGUCUCUGGGCUGGAGGUGGCUUAGGGGUACGGCACAUCACGUCCCCAGAUGUGGCCACACCAAGGGUAAGGCCAGAGGCCUGGUGUUUCUCCAACUCGGUGGUUCUCCUCCACCAGACAUGCCCGUGGCCUCCAGGGGACAUUCAGCCAUGUCUGGAGGCAUCUCUGAUGGGGUGAGGUCCCGGAUGUAGCCCCCACCUGGCCCAGCAUGCCCAGGUGCCGGGCUGAGAGACCAAGCUGGCCAAUUGUUCCAGAUGCCUGCCAGAGAGCUUGGUGCUACCCUGGUGAGGCCGUGGGAACCAACGCAAUGGCAGGAGGAAGCUGCGCCUGCCUCUGGUCCCAGAGGUUCCCGGGAGCCUCCUAUCUCUUCCUCCCCACCCAGCUCCAGAGCCUCCGAGCUGGUCCUUGUCUGUCUGAAACCGUGAGCCCCAGCAGGAGGCGCCCAGGACCUUGGGUAGUACUUCACUCCAUCAAAGGAUUCCUGAGAGCCUCUGAUGGGCCGGCACCGGCGAGGGCUGGGGCUCUGACACCUGCCCGUCUUCCAUUUCUCACAUGAGAUACCCGCAAAAGAAAAAUAACAGGACAUCGCCUACCACCAACACAAACACACACACACACACACAACGAACCUCAUGGGCUCCUGAUGUCAGACGGUGUGAACUCUCCACCCUGUUGUGCUACCUGCCCUUCUCUCAUGGCUGCCAGGGUGCUCUGUGCACAGCUCAACCCUCCACUUCCGUGAGACACAGGCCUGCAGGUUUCACUAGUUGCCAUGCACCUUCCACUCGCUAGGGAUUUGGUCCUCUGCUUUUUAAGAAUCUGACUUAGAAGCUGCCUCACACCCUCUCGGCGGGAGCCGGUAUGCAUCAGCACCUGAGAAAUGACUCACAGGCACAGAGCAGCCGUGGACUGGCCACGCCGCCGUCACUCCCCUACAACCUUACUCCGCCGAUGCCCAGGAUGGUGGCGUUCAACUUCAUGAGCAGGCUAAGGCUCGCUGAGUGGGGGCUCUAGGGGUACAUUUGUCACAGUGCUUUAAGCUGCCACUUGAGAUGCCCAGAGUGCUUGGGUUCAAGUCCCAGCUCAGCUUCUGGUCCCAACUUCCUGCUAAUGUGUCUGGCAACGCUGCAGAUGACAGCCCAAGUACUUGGGUCCCUGCCAACCAUCUGGGAGACCAGGACAGAGUUCCUGGCUCUUGGCUUCAGUGGGGACCAGCCGUGACUGUUGCGGCCACUUGGGGAGUGAACCAGUGGACAGAAGGCCUCUCGCUCUCUGCCGUUCUGCCUUGCAAAUGGAUAAAACUUACAAGGGGAAAGCAGCAGUCUACGUCUGCUUCCCACCAGGGCUCAGUGCCCCAGGUCAGUUCGCCCCUCCACAAGUGUUUCUUGAGCACCUGCUAUGUACUGGGGCCAGAAUAAGUCCCUGAACAAAAGAGCACAACGCUUUCCCUCCCUGCUGCCGGUGGCACGGAGGACGCAGCGGGAGCACAGUCCUGAUUCCGACCUGUGAUGCCGGGGAACUCAGGCUCCCCUUCCUGUCUGUCUGCCCUCACGGGACAGAGUUCCUCUGUGCUGGGCAGGCGACCCCGGCCGCCAGCUCUCUCAGCCCCACCAGCUUGCUCCUCCAGGAGAACCUGCCGGAGGGUGACCCGGGAGAGCGAGGCCAGGCAGACCCUCCCGUGGAAGGGGAGGGUGGAGCUGCAGACACCCCCUGACUGUGGCUCCAGGCCAGGGCACCUGUGCACAAGCUGCCAGUCCAGCCUUCGAAAGCACGGCUCUCCUCUGCCCAACACGCCCCCGGCCCCUCCCCAGAACCACAGGAGGAAGAUAUGAGCACCACUUCACAGGCCUUCUGCAGGGUCACACGGCGGGGACACAGACCCAGCACAGGGUGUCACAGCUCUCCCCGCUCCCUACUCCCCGCUGACUGCCCUGACCCCCGGCUUGCUCCGGGCGAGGCACCCAGAAGGCACGCAAUAGUGGUCUGUCUCUCUCUGGCUGCUCAGACUGCCCGCAAGAAGACUGAGCCACGUGGGAAAGACCCCACUCUGGGGUUUAGGCAAGAGAGAAGCAGUCUCUCCCGGCACCACGCUAGCCCCCCGCAGUCUCACCACCUGGAGAAAGCACAGGAGCUGGCCCGUGUACUGCCACCCACCCAUUCAUCGGGCAGGCCAACCCGAGCCGGGCGCCCGAUCCCCACCGUGGAACCAGACAGGCUCUGGCUUCACGUUAUUUGCCGUCUCUGGGGGAAGGCAGGCGAGUAAACAGAGCCUGACAAUACAUCGGCUGGGGGCUGGGGGCUGGGGGCUGGGGGCGGGGAGCCCGGACAAGAAGCGGCCACCCUGGGCAAGGAGGGUGUCCGGAAGGCUCCCUGGACAGGACAGCACUGGUGCUGCAACCCAGGAGGGGAAGCGGAGCGACAGCGGGACGGCGGCGUAUCCCUGGCCAGGGAGUGGAUGCCGCAGUGUGGACGGACAGACAGACGGGUGGAAUGAACACAGCUGGAGGCAGCGGGCAGGCAGGCUAGCUUCUCCCUGAGAGCCGGGCAGCAGUGAUGGGGCUGACGCCUGACGAGGGUUUGGGUUUGAGAGAGUGCUGGGUGACAGCACGGCAGUGGGGGUGCUGGCAAGCCCGGGCACAGGGAGAGAAGAGCCAAGGCAGCAUGGGGAGUGGGGGGAGCCGGGAGUGCACGGGGAGGUGGUGCCCAGGUCUCCUUGACAGACGGGGAGCAGGGUGCUCUGAUGUCCAGCUGGGGUAGGGGGCAUUUACCAAGACUGAAUAAAGCAGCCCAGGAGGUGGGGGCUGCA